rnacentral:rRNA from 1 species
CAGUAGCCACGGUAAUACGGAGGGAGCUAGCGUUGUUCGGAAUUACUGGGCGUAAAGCGCGCGUAGGCGGUUACUCAAGUCAGAGGUGAAAGCCCGGGGCUCAACCCCGGAACUGCCUUUGAAACUAGGUGACUAGAAUCUUGGAGAGGUCAGUGGAAUUCCGAGUGUAGAGGUGAAAUUCGUAGAUAUUCGGAAGAACGCCAGUGGCGAAGGCGACUGACUGGACAAGUAUUGACGCUGAGGUGCGAAAGCGUGGGGAGCAAACAGGAUUAGAUACCCGCGUAGUCCCUGUCUCUUAUAC